UACAGAGGUCUCAAGCGUUGUUCGGAUUCAUUGGGCGUAAAGGGUGCGUAGGCGGCGCGGUAAGUCGGGUGUGAAAUCUCGGAGCUUAACUCCGAAACUGCAUUCGAUACUGCCGUGCUUGAGGGCUGGAGAGGAGACUGGAAUUUACGGUGUAGCGGUGAAAUGCGUAGAUAUCAAGUGGAACACCGAUGGCGAAGGCAAUCCCCUGGGCCUGCACUGACGCUCAUGCACGAAAAGCGUGGGGGAGCAAACAGG
rnacentral:rRNA from 1 species